UGGAUGUAUUAUAAGACCUGGAUACAGCAUUCGAGGCGGAGCCCUGUUUAUUCCUAUGAGAGUUGCUCAAUAGCACAUAUGCCAAAAAAAAAAUGCUAUUUACACUGUGAU